rnacentral:misc_RNA from 1 species
UUGGUUUAGCAGGAGGCUAAAGAAAGUUUUCUCGACUCUCCAAGCUUGCAUACAGAUUGAGUGAAAAACCACGAUGGAACUAAUAUCUCCUCAGAAAGAUAAGUUUGGUUUAGGUCCUAAGUAUUUACCUGUCUUGGAUGGGCGAUUUCGGUAAAGUUGACAGUCCCUCUUUAGUCUAACGAUUCACUCACCACAUCUCCGUGCGGAUCCUCUUGAAUCCAGCUCGCAUGACUUUGACUUUCUGAACAGGAUGCAAAAGAAAAGUGCAGAUAGAGAGAAGAACGUUACGGUGCAGGAAAUUUCGGACCCUCUAGUAUCCAUUGGGGCGAGGGGGGGGGGAUGCCUGAACAAGUCUCCCUGCGGCGGUCAUUUGACGACUGUAAAAUAACUGAUACAGCGACUGAACCCCAAAAAUCCUUCCCCGUUGUAUACUAGAAGGCUACGGCAAGACUGCUUCUUGACCUUUUGUGGGAAUCCAUGCUGAAAAUACGUCUCUUCAAUUCAAAAAUAUAGAAAAUAAUCGACGGUUCACUGAAAGGAAAAUAAGCUGCCAUAGCAUAGAACCUUUGCUGACGACGGAGGACGCCAGAUUGGUGCAGGUGGCGAUAAAGUGGAGAGGAAUUACAAAGGAGAACAGACAUGCGAAGAGUGAAAAUUCGGAGAGAUGUCAGGGUGGAAGCUGACAAACUUCCUCGCUAAAAUUACCUGAAUAUAUUUAAAUAUAUUGAUAUUGUAGUAUCGUGAGUAAAAAACCUGGUUAAAAACUAACCAAAACAAUGUCGUCUAUCCUUCGGUUAUUAGUUUAUAUAGAAAAAAGCCUAUGUGCCCAAAGUCACCUAGUUCUUGCGGAGCGUUAACAGGAUGGGAUUAGAGAAAGGAAAAAAUAGCGCUAAUGGAGGGGGACGAUUUGAAUUCAAAGAGUUGUUGAUCGGGAAGCGUUGAGCGGUUAAUCGAGAAGUAAGAGUGAGUCGAGAGGUCAGAGUUAAUCGAGGAGUCGAAGAGUAGAGUGGUUAGCGUUGUCGAGUUGCGAGAGUUACUAGCGUAGCUGAGAGGUUGAGUUGUUGACGUUGUCCAGUUGCGUGAGUGAUCAAGUUAGAGUAAGAUCGUUACAAUUAGUUCCAUAUUAAACAACCAUCGUUCUUUCUGUCUCAUUAAUAUCUGUAUAACUAAUUUAUUGUAAAUAAAUUACAAAUAAUAAAUAGUAUCAAAAAAAUUGUAUACCCUAAUAUUUCCACGAUACUACAAUAUGUAAUAUAUUAA